rnacentral:rRNA from 1 species
GACAGAGGGUGCAAACGUUGUUCGGAAUUACUGGGCGUAAAGCGUGUGUAGGCGGCUAGGUAAGUCGGAUGUGAAAGCCCCAGGCUCAACCUGGGAAGUGCACUCGAUACUGCUUAGCUCGAGUACUGGAGAGGUUGGUGGAAUUCUCGGUGUAGAGGUGAAAUGCGUAGAUAUCGGGAGGAACACCUGUGGCGAAGGCGGCCCCCUGGUUGGAUACUGACGCUGAUACGCGAAAGCGUGGGGAGCAAACAGG